GGGGAUGUAGCUCAGUGGUAGAGCGUCUGAUUCGCAUUUAGAAGGCCUCGGGUUCGAUCCCCGACAUCUCCA